rnacentral:rRNA from 1 species
CCUACGGGACGCAGCAGUGGGGAAUAUUGGGCAAUGGGCGCAAGCCUGACCCAGCAACGCCGCGUGAAGGAAGAAGGCUUUCGGGUUGUAAACUUCUUUUAUGAGGGACGAAACAAAUGACGGUACCUCAUGAAUAAGCCACGGCUAACUACGUGCCAGCAGCCGCGGUAAUACGUAGGUGGCAAGCGUUAUCCGGAUUUACUGGGUGUAGAGGGCGUGUAGGCGGGACUGCAAGUCAGAUGUGAAAAUUAUGGGCUCAACCCAUAACCUGCAUUUGAAACUGUAGUUCUUGAGUGAUGUAGAGG